rnacentral:lncRNA from 1 species
AGGAGCAAGUGCAAUCCCUGGAGACGAGCCGAAGGGGCCCGAGGCCCCGAGAAGGGCAGGAUGCGAUGCUGGGUGUGUGACCUCAGCCAUGGAAGGGCCACCUGCCACCGGGGGGCUGGGCCGUCGGGCCUUUGGCUGUGGAGGGAAAAGAGUGGCCACUUGCUGGAGCUGGGAACGUGCAGUGAUGAGCACUAGGACAAGAGGACCGUGACAAACAGACAUAGAAGGACAGCAUUGAGUUCAAUGCCUCAAAAUUGCUGCGUUCUCCUUCUGCCAGUGCCCAGAGAUGCUCCCCACACCACACUGCGCUGCCAGGGGAUGUUAGAGGUGAUUCAAGACAGUUUUUCCUACCUCUUCAGUGCCUCUUUCAGCAAUAUGAAGUUAAAACCAGAGGAAUGAUCAGUGGAGCCUUCUAUUCUGCCACCUUUCUCUGCCUCUCUCCAAUCCUCUUACCUUUUUCACACAGCCUUCGUGGUUAUCACAGUGACUUAAGAUG